rnacentral:lncRNA from 1 species
AAAGCUAUAGCCAAUCCCAAAAUUUAUCAGAAACAAAGAAGAAUGUCCAAUCAACCCAUAAAACAUGUACGAUCGGAAAAUUAUAAACAAUCAACAAGCAAAUUGCAACAAAUAAAGCCACGGAAGACCCAUUUCAACAGCUUGAAAAGAACUGAAAUUUAAAGAGAGAAAACACAACUUACAAUGCUCUUGCUUGGUGAAAUUUCGCAAGUGGUAAUGGCAGAUUGCGGUGGCGGUCGCGGCAACAGCAAAUCCUUGCUGAUUCCCUUGACUCUUGGCUUUCCUUCGCUCUGUUUCUUUGCCGAUGACCUUCUUCUCUGUUUUUUCCUUGCUCCAGCUUUUCCUUUUCAUUCCCUCUCUCUCGGUCCCUCACGUGGUUUCGUUCCCGCCGCCACUCUUUUACUUGUUGUCCCCGGUUCUCAUUUCUCUCCCAACCUUCUUCAUCAGCCGCCACCCCAAAAACCUCUCCAGCCCUCGGUUUCUUUUUUUUUUUUUUAAUUUC